rnacentral:rRNA from 1 species
GAAUCUUACCGGGUCCGGACACACUGAGGAUUGACAGACAAUUGUCUUUUUGUCAAAUUUAAAGACAAAAGAUAACAGAUCUUUCAUGAUUAUGUGAUGGGUGGUGCAUGGCCGUUCUUAGUUCGUGGAGUGAUCUGUCUGCUUAAUUGCGUUUCAAAUAUAUUUUAUUAUAUAACGAGUCUACAAAGGAGUGGUUCAUUAACAGACAAUCAUAUCUUUGAGCGUCUGGAAUCUACUCUAUUUGGCUCAAUUGAACGCAACGGACGUGAUCGCGAGUCCUUGUUGAACUUCAGUAUAUAUUGACUUUCCCCGUAGGAAGGGAUUGGCAAUAAUUGAAUGUUCGCUUUCUAUAGGUGUGUAUGAUUAAUCUCAAAAUUACAUGUAUUUGUAGUGGCGAGUAUAAUUUACUAUCCUAUAGGAAAACUCGGGCGACCGCUGUAAUAUUUCUCUUUAAAACAGAGGAAGAUUGCGGCAAUAACAGGUCUGUGAUGC